AGAGAGAGAGAGAGAGAGAGAGAGAGAGAGAGAGAGAGAGGAGUUGCUGUUAACAGACGUAGGGAAGAAAAUAUAUACAAAUUCCAUCUCGACACUGUUUCCCUAGAGCACACAAAAAACUAUACAUACCUCGGCCUAAACAUCAGCAACACAGGUAACUUCCACAAAGCUGUGACCGAUCUGAGAGACAAGGCAAGAAGGGCCUUCUGUGCCAUCCAUACGAACAUAAAAUUUGACAUACCAAUUAGGAUCUGGCUAAAAAUACUUCAAUCAGUCAUAGAGCCCAUUGCCCUUUACGGUUGUGAGGUCUGGGGUCCGCUCACCAACCAAGACUUCACAAAAUGGGACAAACACCAAACUGAGACUCUGCACGCAGAAUUCUGCAAAAAUAUCCUUCGUGUACAACGUAGAACACCAAAUAAUGCAUGCAGAGCAGAAUUAGGCCGAUACCCACUAAUUAUCAAAAUCCAGAAAAGAGCCAUUAAAUUCAACAACCACCUACAAGGAAGCGAUCCUGAGGCUCUGUUGACAAACACAAACACACCCCACAGAGCCCCAGGACAGCAACACAAUUAGACCCAAACAAAUCAUGAGAAAACAAAAAGAUAAUUACUUGACAUAUUGGAAAGGAUUUACCAGUCUGGAAUGCUAUUUGGCCCUAACCAGAGAGUACACAGUGGCAGAAUACCUGACCACUGUGACUGACUCAAACUUAAAGAAAGCUUUGUCUAUGUACAGACUCAGUGAGCAUAGCCUUGCUAUUGAGAAAGGCCGCCGUAGGCAGACAUGGCUCUCAAGAGAAGACAGGCUAUGUGCUCACUGCCCACAAAAUGAGGUGGAAACUGAGCUGCACUUCCUGAAAUCCUGCCAAAUGUAUGACCAUAUUAGAGACAAAUACUUCCGCGAAGAAAAAACCCCAUUGUAAAUACAACCCAUAUUUAUGUUUAAUUAUUUUCCCUUUUGUACUUUAACUAUACAAAUCGUUAUAACAUAGCCAUAAUAUGGAGAGAGAGGUGGCUAUAAUCAGACAUAGGGAAGAGAGAGAUAAGGAGAGAGAGAGAGAGAGAGAGAGAUGGCUAUAAACUAACAUAGGGAAGAGAGAGAGAGAGAGAGAUAUGGCUAUAAACUAACAUAGAGAGAGAGAGGUGGCUGUAAACAGACGAUGGGAAGAGAGAGAGAGAGAGGUGGCUAUAAUCAGACAUAGGGAAGAGAGAGAGAGAGGUGUCUGUAAACAGGUGUAGGGAAGAGAGAUAGAUAAGGAGAGAGAGAGAUGGCUAUAAACAGACUCGGGGAAGAGAGAGAGCGAGAUGGCUGUAAACAGACUCAGGAAAGAGAGAUAGCGAGAUGGCUGUAAACAGGUGUAGGGAAGAGAGAGAGAGAGAUGGCUGUAAACAGACUCAGGGAAGAGAGAUAGCAAGAUGACUGUACACAGACUCAGGGAAGAGAGAGAGAUAGCGAGAUGGCUAUAAACAGACUCAGGGAAGAGAGAGAGCG
ensembl:lncRNA